ensembl:lncRNA
UAACAUCAUCCUUAAUGGUAAGAAACUAGAAACGUUCCCAUUAAGACUAGGAAUAAGGCGAAAACAUCCCCUCUCACCACCACUUUUUAGUACUGUGCGGAUAGUCCUAGCUGAUUCAAUAGGACAUAGUUUUCACUUGCACAGAUCUGGAAGGAAGCUCUGUAAAUAUAUACAUAUUUAAUUUUAUAUAUGUAUUAAUUUUAAUUUUAAUUUUAUAGUUGGGAGGGAAGAAAUAAAACUGCUUUUGUUCACAGAUGACAUCUACUCUAUGCAUAACUGUCUAUGUAUAAAAUCUGAAAGAAGUGACCAAAAAAACUCUUAGAACAAAUAAGCAUUUAUAGUAACACAAGGUUGCAGGAUACAGGUUUAGUGUACAAGAUUUCACUGCUUCUCUAUACACCAACAAUGAACAAGUGGAAUUGGAAAUUAAAAAUAAUAAUAAUACAUUUUCUUUUUUUUUUAAUGGUUCGUACUUUCAUGCACAUUUUAAUAAACACAACAUACUUCUGCAGACAACAUUGAGGUGAUCUCAAUCUACUGACUUCCUUUUUCCUAAUAUAUUUCCCUUUAGAAUUAUCUCUCUAAUUAAUGAAAUGUGGCCAAAGUUUGCAAUUGAACUUCCCCAUUAUUUAGAUUCUGAAUGCAUGAAUCAACUAUAAUUAUUUAAAAUCCUGAAUUAUUUGAAAGUCCAUAUAAGGAUAUUUUACUGCAACAAAGAAGCAUAUCCCAUUUUACUACAUAUAUUUUACUAUAAUGAGUAAGCGACAGAAUAAAGAACUGAGAAAUUACAUAACCACUUUCUAAAUCAAUGCAAAUACACAGGAGGGGUGAGAACACAGGGUACUCCUCCUGUACCAACAUCGCACAUCCAGAACAGCAGGCGCUUACUUUAGGCUGACAUUUGGCCUCUGGGCGGAACAUUCCUGUCUUAUUUUCAUCUAAUAAUACAUUUUCAUUGGCACCAAAAGAAACAAAACACAGGUAUAAAUUUAACACAAUGUAUAAGAUGUAUAUGAGGGAAAACUACAAAACUAUGAUGAGAAACAUCAAGGAGGAGCUAAAUAAUUAGAGAGCUAUUCCAUGUUCAUGGAUAGGAAGACUCAAUAUUAUUAAGACGUCAGUUCUUCCCAACUUAAUCUAUAGAUUCCAUACAACCUCAAUCAAUCUCAGCAAGCUGUUUUGUGGAUAUUAACGAAUUGAUUCUAAAGUUUAUAUGGAGAAACAAAAGACCCAGGAUGGCCAACACUACACUGAAGGAAAAGAACGAAGUCGGAAGACUGACACCACCUGACUUCAAGACUUACUCUCUGGCUACAGUGAUCAAGACAAGUGUGCUGCUGGAAAGGAAAAGACUGACUAGAUCAAUGGAACAGAAUGAAGACCAUAGACUCACAUAAUACAGCCAACUGAUCUUUGACAAAGGAUCAAAGGUAGUACAGAUGGGAAGAAGUAGUCUUUUCAACAAAUGACGCUAGACAAGCUAGACAGCCACAUGCAAAAAAAUAAAUCUAGACGCAGAUCUUAUAACCAUCACAAAAAUCACCUCAACAUGGAUUACAGACUUAAAGGUAAAAUAUAAAACUAUGAAAUGCCUAGAAGAUAAGAUAGGAGAAAGAUCUGGAUGACUCAUUAGACAACAACAUCAUAAUUCAUGAAAGAAAUAAUUGAUAAGCUAGACUUGAUUAAAAUUUUAAAAUUCCGUUCUGUGAAAGAUACUAUCAAGGGAAUAAGAAGCCAGGGAGUUACUGUUGUGGUGCGGUGGAAACCAAUCCAACUAGUAUCCAUGAGGAUGCAGGUUCAGUCCCUGGCCUUGCUCAGUGAGUUAAGGAUCUGGGAUUGCCAUGAGCUGUGGUAGAGGUCACAGAUGCAGCUCCGAUCCUGUGUUGCUGUGGCUGUGGUAUAGGCCGGCAGCUAUGACACCAAUUUGACCCCUAGCCUUGGAAUUUCCAUAUGCCAUGGAUGCUGCCCUAAAAAGCAAAAAAAAAAGAGAGAGAGAGAGAGAGAGAGACAAGAAGAAGCCAUAGAUAGACCGGGAGAAAAUGUUUGCAAGAGAUGAAAAGAUAAAGGACCAU